AGUGGCGCACGGGUGCGUAACGCGUGGGAACCUGCCUUUAGGUUCGGAAUAACAGUUAGAAAUGACUGCUAAUACCGGAUAAUGUCUUCGGACCAAAGAUUUAUCGCCUUUAGAUGGGCCCGCGUUAGAUUAGAUAGUUGGUGGGGUAAUGGCCUACCAAGUCGACGAUCUAUAGCUGGUCUGAGAGGAUGAUCAGCCACACUGGGACUGAGACACGGCCCAGACUCCUACGGGAGGCAGCAGUGGGGAAUAUUGGACAAUGGGCGAAAGCCUGAUCCAGCAAUGCCGCGUGAGUGAUGAAGGCCUUAGGGUUGUAAAGCUCUUUUACCAGGGAUGAUAAUGACAGUACCUGGAGAAUAAGCUCCGGCUAACUCCGUGCCAGCAGCCGCGGUAAUACGGAGGGAGCUAGCGUUGUUCGGAAUUACUGGGCGUAAAGCGCACGUAGGCGGCUUUUCAAGUCAGGGGUGAAAUCCCGGGGCUCAACCCCGGAACUGCCCUUGAAACUGGAUGGCUAGAAUACUGGAGAGGUGAGUGGAAUUCCGAGUGUAGAGGUGAAAUUCGUAGAUAUUCGGAAGAACACCAGUGGCGAAGCGACUCACUGGACAGUUAUUGACGCUGAGUGCGAAGCGUGGGGAGCAACAGGAUUAGAUACCCUGGUAGUCCACGCCGA
rnacentral:rRNA from 1 species